rnacentral:rRNA from 1 species
UACAGAGGUCUCAAGCGUUGUUCGGAUUCAUUGGGCGUAAAGGGCGCGUAGGCGGCCUCUUAAGUCGAACGUGAAAUCCCCGGGCUCAACCCGGGAACUGCGUCCGAUACUGGGGGGCUUGAAUCCGGGAGAGGGAUGUGGAAUUCCAGGUGUAGCGGUGAAAUGCGUAGAUAUCUGGAGGAACACCGGUGGCGAAGGCGGCAUCCUGGACCGGUAUUGACGCUGAGGCGCGAAAGCCAGGGGAGCAAACGGG